AUCAUUCUCAGGAGUCAUCAGCACAUGAGGAGCCUGGAAAUGGUAGAUAACCAAAGUCUGCUUUUCAUGACCUGGUUCUUGCUUAAACCAUUUCUUAUGAGUGCCAUCUACUGACUCAUUCUCAUCAGUACCCAGCUAUUUCUUUCUAAGGAGCAUCCAACACAGCAGUGCUUAACUUAUAGAAAUGAAGGGAACUGAGCACAUAGUACUACAGCUGCUGGAAAACGAAAGCUGGAGGGUUUGAGAGCUCCACAGAAAUAAUAGCCUUAAAACUUGAUCUUGUUGCAUUCAUAGACAGUGACACUAUUAAAAUAUUUAUUAACUUAUGCAAGGUUCAACUCAUAUGUCAUGUGUCCUAUGCCCGGAAGGGGGAGAUGUUGCCAAACAGCACAAAGCUGGGAAUAGAGAACUCUGAACUGGACAGUUAGAAGAUAGUAACUGGGAAGGAAGUUGACAAAAGUUGGUGACUGACUAGAGAGUUGAAGAGAGAAGGAAAGUGCUAAAGGAAGGUGAAACCCACAGGAUGUUGAUCAGGAGAGGUCGCAGAUGAUUGGAAAAGGGCAAACACAGUGCCCAUAUUUAAGAAAGGGAAAAAGGAGGAUCCAGGGAACUACAGGCCAGUCAGCCUCACCUCAGUUCCUGGAAAAACCAUGGAGCAGAUCCUCAAGGAGUCCAUUUCUAAGCACUUGGAGAAGAAAAAGUGGGUCCAGCUAAAGAAGAAGAAGACUGGCUAUGAGGAGGCAGAGAGAAAGCCUCUAUUGUUGGAAGGAGGGAUGGUGAUUCUUGAUCUAAGCCCAAAAGAACUCUUAGGAGUGGUAAGGAAAUGGAGGUGUGUGUUUGACUGUACCAGAUGCAAAGCAAUAGAGAAACUUGCCUGAAGUGUUUGAAAGAGCAAUGAAAAAUGGAAGAUCUUACUUUGCAUGUGCAUUACCCACAACAUGAGCUCAUGUGGAGAUGAAAGCCUGAAAGAACAACAUUGCCAUGGAAAACAUUAAACAUGUUUUAUUUACAUGUAUAUAUUUUCAUCUCUCCCACAUAUGGAAUGACAGAAUGAUACAUCCAGCAAUCAGUGACGUGUAGGAGCUGCUCUCUCUUCAUUCAUCCUGGGUGACAUCUGCACCCAAAGGAGUGGGAGGAUCAGAUUAGGCAGCAGGGCAGUUCAGUGUAGGCAUUGCAACAUCCUGAUGGAGGGCUGUGCCUACCUCCAAGGCUUAAUAAACUCUGAGUGUGAAAUCCUGACCA
rnacentral:lncRNA from 1 species